rnacentral:lncRNA from 1 species
ACCAGAACAAGAGGAUAAAACUUGUCUGUGACACUGACACAGGAGAAAAAAAGAGCUCAGCUGGAGGAAAGAGGGUGAGGAGGUCCGAUUAUCUGGUAAGUUGUUUAAACUCAACAGAUCCUCACAGUGUGGUCAACCUCUGCUAUGUUUAAUGUAAACAGACUGUAGUCUGGGAGCCAAAGUCUCAAAGAAGAGUGUUAUCUUACUAGUCAGAGGGUGAUGAAAGCUUGCUGUAAAAUGGGUUAAACCUGACAUGGUCUGUUAUACUUUGUGUUUUCUGUUAACUUUGACCCAAAGAACCAAUAAUUAGAGGGUCUGCUUUGCUUGAAACAUUGCAAACAAAAAAAUUGUGGCCAUUUUAGUGUAGGUAUCCUGUAUUUUUUUGAUAGAAAAUUUUGCAAAAUAAAAUUUUUCCUCAAAUCCUUUGUGGGUUGGGCAAGUUUUCAAUAAAUGCAUUCCAGGUACACAGACCACAUGUGGUGACAACAUCCAAUAAAAAAAUAACUCUUUAAACACAUUUCUACAUGAUUUUGGAACAAGUUAUACAAAAAAUGAGGCCCUUUUUUUCACUUUUUCCAAGAUUUUCAUCUUUACCUUAUUGGCAAUCAACUAUUCCCCCAGGUUAAGAGAUCAAUCAAUAUGCAAUUUUUUUUCACCAAACAGUGUUGUCAUUCCAUAGAAAAAAAUUAUACAAAUCCAACUAAAAUCAUUGAAUAUGUGAUGUUUUCAAAUCAAAUCAAAUUUUAUUCAUAUAGCAUCAAUUCACAACAGUCGCCAUCCCAAGAUGUUUUUCAAAGAACAAGAGCAGGUUUACACCACGCUCAUUGUUUGAUGAAUUAUCAAGACCCAACCUAAGAAGGGAUUUGGCCCAUCUCAUCUAACAUGAGUAACAGUGGCAAGGAAAAACUUCCUUUUAACAGGCAGAAACCUUGAGCAGGACCAGACUCAUGCCAGACAGUCACCAAGCCGCUGCUGGGUUGGGGAGGAAUACAGAGAGAUAGGGGGAGAGAGAGAGAGAGAGAGAGAGAGAGAAGUGGAGAGAGGGCAGGGGGAGAGAAAGAGAACAAGAUAGAGGAAAGGAGAGAGAGAAUGAGUAAGGGAGAGGGAGGGAGAGAGAGUAGAGAAUGAGGGUGAGAGAGAGAGAGGGCUCUAUUUUCGUGCCUCGCCAGAGACGUGGCACAGGUGCGGCAUAAGUCAGGUCCGCCGCGCUGACAAGGCGUUCCCAAGCACAAUUUGGUAUUUUGGUGAGCGGCGCAGCCCGGCGUAAGUAUCCACCCUCCCUAACUCAGCUCCUCCCAGCGGCGGAAGUCGUAGGGAGGGAGGAGAGAGGGCGUGGAGUGGAUUUGACACAGCCAAGACCUGUAUUGACCAAUAACAUCAGCUCCUCUCCUCACCUUUAAAUCCGCCACCGGCGAGGCAUAUUACUAUUUUUGUGAAGUAGUCUAAGAGAUUAAGAGAUGUCUGAAGACAGCGAUGCCACACGAUGGCGACAGAAGGCAGCCACUAAACAAGUGUCACUGUAAGCGCUGCAGAGGGUGUCCUUCGCACUCUCUCAAGUAAGCACAGAUGGAUUUGGUGUGCGUAAGGUUGUACCCACUGGUAAGACAAACACCCUUUUCCACAAAUAAAGACACUCACAUAAAGUUGCAUUUAAUUUUUUUAUUUAAACCCCACACAGAGGUUGUGCGCACAGAUCAUAAAUUCCAAUAAUGGCAUUAAAAUCCGAACCAUCUGUGCGUAAAGGACGCAUCGCGCUCCUUGGCCUGGCUGUUUCUUUCAUAGAUGUUGGCAUAUAAAAUGAAUUUGACUCACAAAACUGAAUAUUAUAAUUUUCGUAUGUGGGCCUGACUCCAGAUUGAAUAUUUACAGAAUCUUAAUGAGGAAAUCAGAUAAACAGGUAAUUUUGAGUGAAAGGUUCUUUUAUUUUAUUUUAUUUUAUUUUUUUGUUCAAAUUUUUGAAGUAAAUAACUCACCUGGGGCCUUAUGUAUCAACGCUUGCGGCGCAAGAAAACCUUGCGUACGCCAAAAUCGGCGCACACGUCCAGAUUUAUCAUUUAUCAUUAGCGCGAAACGGUUCCAGCGCUAAUCAACGCAAAGUUAGGAGGUGGUGUAGAAAUUGGCGUUGAGCCGAUACUUGCGUUGACUGUGAUUCGCAGUUUGGCGACGCUGUGUGGCGGUGUUUGGUGACUCACUAUGUGACAAGCGUGCACCACAUCCCCGUGGCCGAGCAGCACGUCGCCCCACAUGACGAACCAGCAGCAGACAGAGGGAUGCGAGCUGAUCCCUGCCGGGCAGCCGUCCUCGCGCGGGAGAAUCUCAUCGCCACAGUGUGAAUGGGUAAGAAGUGAAUACACAGUUCAAUGAGCCAAAUUAAUUUAUUUUCUCCACCAGACGCUCGAGGACAUUUACGAGCCGGUCCAGCCGCUCGUUGAUCCCCGCGAUCCCCCUGAUGAUUUCUUCCUCCGAUUGCAGGACCCCCUCCGUGAGGACCCUUCCACUGCGUCCGGGUGGUC